CCUACGGGAGGCAGCAGUGAGGAAUAUUGGUCAAUGGACGAGAGUCUGAACCAGCCAAGUAGCGUGAAGGAUGACUGCCCUAUGGGUUGUAAACUUCUUUUAUAUGGGAAUAAAAUGUUCCACGUGUGGGAUUUUGUAUGUACCAUAUGAAUAAGGAUCGGCUAACUCCGUGCCAGCAGCCGCGGUAAUACGGAGGAUCCGAGCGUUAUCCGGAUUUAUUGGGUUUAAAGGGAGCGUAGGUGGAUUGUUAAGUCAGUUGUGAAAGUUUGCGGCUCAACCGUAAAAUUGCAGUUGAAACUGGCAGUCUUGAGUACAGUAGAGGUGGGCGGAAUUCGUGGUGUAGCGGUGAAAUGCUUAGAUAUCACGAAGAACUCCGAUUGCGAAGGCAGUUCACUGGACUGCAACUGACACUGAGGCUCGAAAGCGUGGGUAUCAAACAGGAUUAGAUACCCGUGUAGUC
rnacentral:rRNA from 1 species